rfam:Triticum aestivum genome assembly, contig: Triticum_aestivum_CS42_TGACv1_scaffold_471825_6AL
AUAAUACUCCCUCCGUCCAGAAAUACUUGUCAUCAAAAUGAAUAAAAGGGGAUGUAUCUAGAUGUAUUUUAGUUCUAGAUACAUCCCUUUUUGUCCAUUUUGAUGACAAGUAUUUUCGGACGGAGGGAGUAUGUA